rnacentral:rRNA from 1 species
GACGAACGCUGGCGGCGUGCUUAACACAUGCAAGUCGAACGGAAAGGCCCUGCUUUUGUGGGGUGCUCGAGUGGCGAACGGGUGAGUAACACGUGAGUAACCUGCCCUUGACUUUGGGAUAACUUCAGGAAACUGGGGCUAAUACCGGAUAGGAGCUCCUGCUGCAUGGUGGGGGUUGGAAAGUUUCGGCGGUUGGGGAUGGACUCGCGGCUUAUCAGCUUGUUGGUGGGGGAGUGGCUUACCAAGGCUUUGACGGGUAGCCGGCCUGGGAGGGUGACCGGCCACAUUGGGACUGGGGUAGGGCCAAGACUCCUACGGGAGGAAGCGGUGGGGAAUAUUGCACAAUGGGCGGAAGCCUGAUGCAGCAACGCCGCGUGCGGGAUGACGGCCUUCGGGUUGUAAACCGCUUUCGCCUGUGACGAAGCGUGAGUGACGGUAAUGGGUAAAGAAGCACCGGCUAACUACGUG